rnacentral:rRNA from 1 species
UACGUAGGGUGCGAGCGUUAAUCGGAUUUACUGGGCGUGAAGCGUGCGCAGGCGGCCCGUUAAGACAGGUGUGAAAUCCCUGGGCUCAACCUAGGAAUUGCGCUUGUGACUGGCGGGCUCGAGUACGGUAGAGGGGGGUGGAAUUCCUGGUGUAGCAGUGAAAUGCGUAGAGAUCAGGAGGAACACCGAUGGCGAAGGCAGCCCCCUGGGCCUGUACUGACGCUCAUGCACGAAAGCGUGGGGAGCAAACAGG